UGACAUGUCUCUGACAUCCCUGUCUCAGCACAGUAAUGCCCCAAAGCUUGAGACGUCGUUCUCAGCGCGCAGGCUUUACGGUACCAACCGUGCGGUAUCAUUGCUACAUGAAGAGUGCACUGCCCCAACCAUUGAAGCAUCACAAGGUGCUUGCCUGCCGCCGCCGCCGCUGAUACGUACACGAUUGCUGCCACACAACCAACACAUCACACCCAACAAUCACAACAACAAAACAACUGAGACCCGCCGCCGCGCAACGCACACUGUACACGCUCCAGGGCCGAGAACGCAACACACACACAAGCACCUGACAUGCCUCAUCCAGGCAUGCGUCACUCAAUCGCCCACCGAGCUGAUCUCGCACACGCCGUUCGUGAGCCCCUGCGGCUGACAUGCCCGACCCUGCCGCCUUGGCACCGCCGCCCAUUGCCCCACCCCCAUGCUGCGUGCCAUGUAAUAAUGAAGCCAGGUCCCCAUCAAGCCGCAGCAUAUAUCCCCGCCAAGCCACCACACUCCUCUUGCCGCACGCUACCAACCACCACCAGCACAGGACCGGCACCUGCCUGUCCCCCUGUUUAGUUUGGGCUGGUAUUUGCAAACCCCCCGCCCCACCCUCCCCAUUGCCAACGCCAGCCAACCUCGCCCACCGCGCCGAAAUACACGCCGGCACCUCGCUCGUGCCUCUCGAGGCCUCCCAUCUUCCGUAGCUAGAGAUCCCUGUCCACGAGUAUCCACUUGGGCUCCAGCCCACUCCUGAUGCACACGCCAGCAUUAUCCAGGUCUGCAUGGUUUGCAUACCUGCCUAUCUACCGUGCACGCACACCUGCCUAGCUACGCAGACCUACCGUCCUUUUCGACCCGCCGACCCGCCUCCGCCCGCCGCCUCCCUCUGGCCGCCGUGCCGGCCGCACCAGCAGCUGCUGUUGUGGGUUGCCGCCAGAGCCGCCGCCGCCCUUGUUGCUGUUGGUGGUGGUGGUUGCGGGCUGGUGUGGCGCGGCCGUAGUGACAGCCGCAGCGCCGCCCACGGCACCCGCUGUCACUGUUUCCACCGCCACCGCCGGCUGCUGCAGCCGGCGCAGCAGGUAGGCCUCCUGCUCGGAAGGAGUCAGGAAGUCCCAUUCCCAGUACGGCACUAGUAGGACGCCGCCCUCCUUAAACGCCCGCCGCAGCUGCCGAAUGCGAAUGGCCGUACCCCCUUCCACAGCAGCGCUGGGGUCUUGCUGCUGCGUUUGUGUCAAGAGGUAACGUUUCGGUCCGAGGAACUCCACCGCCGCCUGCUGCCCGUCACUCAGCCGCACCACCGCAUCCACUGGCGCCAACACUCCUGGCGCGACAACGCCCGUCUGAAGGGACUGAACGGCUAGGCCCCCUGCUGCCUUGAGGCCCUGCUGCUCAAGCCGCCGCAGCGCUGCAACGACCUGCUUUUGAGUAUCUGAUGUGGGCUUGGCGUCUUCCCUCUCAGUAGUCACCGCCGCUGCCAUCGCCGCCUGCAGUCCGCUGCCGCUGCCCAGGGCCGCCGCCACCUCGCCGCCUAGCUCCUGCUGCGCCUGCCACAGCUGUUUGAGAUGCUCAGUUGUAAGACCCUCCCAACGGCUUACUGCUUCACGGGCCAGCUGAAUGGAUAGCUGCUUCAUGUCGGGAGAAUACGUGCCUCCGAACACAGCCAUGGCCCACAGGCUGUUGCAUACGUGCUGGUGCAGGACUGUGUCAGAGUCAUGCUGCAGCAGCUCGCCCAGCCGACCGCACACCGCCGCCUCCAAGCCAGCGUGCCGCAGCUGCAGCACCGCCAGCGCGUACAGCGUAUUGGCACAGUUCUGACCACCGGCACUACUGGCGCGCAUGGCUGCUACUGCUGCGCCCGAGUCAAGCAGCUCCGCCGGCGGCUGGUGGCGCAUCAACGCAAGCGCGUACAGCAGAUUGGACCAGGCCUGAGAUGUUGCGCGGGCCAUGGCGCCCGACUGCGUUGCUGCGUCCACCGCUGCUGAAACCCACUGCCGCUGCUCGGCCGGCGCCUCCGGGCCCGCCCCAAAUCCCAUCUUGGCUAGGGCCCACGCUGAGUUGCUGAGGUCCUGAGCGAUGUACCCGUCAAACCCCCGCCGCAUGUCCUCUUCGGCCACUGCCACCACCAGCUCUGCCUGCUCGCUGCAUAGCUGCAGCCCCUCCAGCGCCAGCAGGAUGUUGGAUAGCUGUUGCGGGAUAAAUGCUGCAGCGAGCUCCGGUUUCCGGAGCUGCUGCAGUGCCUCCCCGCACAGCGCCUCAACUGCUGACCGGUACUCUGGUCCUGUGCACCCCAGAGCUUUGAGAGCCCAUAGGCUGUUUGAAACAUCUUGCGGCUUGAAGCCGUGGCCCGCCACCGUUCUCAAGCGAGAAGCCACAGCUGCCGCCAAGGUCUGCAAGUGCGGAGAUGAGGUGGGGUCCCAGCCUGAGCCCCGCUGCUGCUGGUCUUGCUUGAGCUUGCCGAGCGCGUACAUGACAAUUGCGAGGUUCUGAGGUUCCGCCUUCCCAAGAACCUCAGGAUCCACUAGCCGCUCCAGCAGAGCUGCUGCAAGCUGAGCCUCCGUGCCGCCGCCGACCAAUCCAGCUUUGCCCAGCGCCCACAGCGGAAUGCUGCAGUUCUUUGCGUUGCGGAUGCGCGGCACGAGCGGCAGGUAGGCCGGCGCAAGCAUGCCGAUAAUGCUGCUGCGUGCUACAGCCGUUUGGCUUGCUCCAGCGCGCGACUCCAGCUGCGUUCAAAGCAGUUAUGAGGGACAUACAUGGGGUCAAGUGCUAUAUGCAUGUGUUUGUGCGUGUGCGUGAACAGGUGCGCAUGCAAGUCCUGUGUGGCCAUCUGCGUCGUGAGAACCGGAAGUCCGGGCCGAGAACGACAACAAUGGACUCGCCCUCCAUUCUGCACUUCAUUUCUGUGCCCAUUCCCACCUGCACGUAUUAGUCCUCCCUCUCACCUUGCCGCACAGGUUGAACGCCGCACACAUGGUAAUGAAGUCUUUUCGGCCCUCCCACACUGAUAGCCGCUGGCUGAUGAUUGCUUGCAGCUCCUCCAGAGUCCGACACACGGUCAUGUCAUCCGCGGGGUCACGCCCGCUGCCCCUGCUUCUGCCGCUGGCGCGGCUGCCAUCGCCUGCCCUGCCUCCGCCGCUUCCCCUACCCGCCGCCGCCUGCACUAUUGGCCGCCCGAGGCGGGAGCUACUGCUGCCGCAGAGCACUACCGCCGUCGAGACGCGCAGUGGGGAUGAGCUGCUACUGUUGAGUGCUGGGACAGAAGUAGCGGCGGCAGCGCGCGGUGAGCUGGGGCCGGUGUCGGCAGCGGUCCGAUGCAUGCCAUAAACGAACAGUCUUCUAAACGCGCACGCCGGUGGCGGUGCCUGGAGACGGGCUGAUAACGAUUGGCUACAGCCAUGUACGCUGUGCCUGUGCGCACCAGCGGGAGAGCCCGCGACGACGCGCAGGGCGAGCAUCUCGGGCCUCCUCACGGCGGCGACCUGAGCUAUAGCGACUCUAUCCGUCUACGUGUCUGAGCACUGCAAAUGCAUUAGGCUUGCAUUUGUGGGAGAAUAACGCAAGGAACGAAAGGUCAGGUGCGUGUAGGUCGCUGGGCCAAAGCCGCCUGAGUAGCUGUGGCUUGGUAUGGAUGAUAAAGCAACUGAAUCAAUUUGCCACCGGUGUUGAGGCGAGGGCGACCUGACCGCGAAAUACACGGCCCGAGGGCACGCCCCGUAUCAACACCCCUCGCGACCUCCAAACACGUGCACUGAACCGCGAAGCCCUCCCCCAAGCCUAUCGCGGCUGCUAUUCCCAUGUCCUCCUCCCCAACCAUUCUGCAUACAGGCUCUGGCGUGAGUCCCUGCCCGCGUCAUUUGACACCCGUCGACCACGACUGAGGUGCAACGCAUGUCGCUUACAAAUCCAACAUCCCGCCCGACACGAGAGGGGCAGAAACGGCGGGGCAGACGGCCAGCCUCUUGAACAUGAGCAUAGCAGUGCAAUAUCGCACAUUGGGUCCCCGCCUGCUUCACCUGGCCACCUUUGCUGAUUUGUCUGACAUCCCUGUCUACACACUUUUAUCCGCCCACGCUUGAGACGUCCUCCUCAGCGCGCAGGCUUCACGGUACCAACCGUGCGGUAUCAUCGCUACAUGAUGAGUGCACUGCCCCAACCAUUGAAGCAUCACAAGGUGCUUGCCUGCCGCCGCCGCCGCUGAUACGUACACGAUUGCUGCCACACAACCAACACAUCACACCCAACAAUCACAACAACAAAACAACUGAGACCCGCCGCCGUGCAACGCACACUGUACACGCCCCAGGGCCGAGAACACAACGCAACACAAGCACCUGACAUGCCUCAUCCAGGCAUGCGUCACUCAAUCGCCCACCGAGCCGACCUCGCACACGCCGUUCGUGAGCCCCUGCGGCUGACAUGCCCGGCCCUGCCCCCUUGGCACCGCAGCCCUGCCGCCUUGGCACCGCCGCCCAUUGCCCCACCCCCAUGCUGCGUGCCAUGUAAGAAUAAAGCCAGGUCCCCAUCAAGCCGCAGCAUAUAUCCCCGCCAAGCCACCAGACUCCUCUUGCCGCACGCUACCAACCACCACCAGCACAGGACCGGCACCUGCCUGUCCCCCUGUUUAGUUUGGGCUGAUAUUUACAACCCCCCACCCUCCCCUCCCCACCUUCCCCAUUGCCAACCUCGCCCACCGCGCCGACAUGCACGCCGGCACCUCGCUCGUGCCUCUCGAGGCCUCCCAUCUUCCGUAGCUAGAGAUCCCUGUCCACGAGUAUCCACUUGGGCUCCAGCCCACUCCUGAUGCACACGCCGGCAUUACCCAGGUCUGCAUGGUUUGCAUGCCUGCCUGUCUACCGUGCACGCACACCUGCCUAGCUACGCAGACCUACUACCGUCCUUUUUGACCCGCCUCCGCCGCCACCGCCGCCGUCUCCUCCCUCUGGCCGCCGUGCCGGCCGCGCCAGCAGCUGCUGUUGUGGGUUGCCGCCAGAGCCGCCGCCGCCCUUGUUGCUGUUGGUGGUGGUGGUUGCGGGCUGGUGUGGCGCGGCCGUAGUGACAGCCGCAGCGCCGCCCACGGCACCCGCUGUCACUGUUUCCACCGCCACCGCCGGCUGCUGCAGCCGGCGCAGCAGGUAGGCCUCCUGCUCGGAAGGAGUCAGGAAGUCCCAUUCCCAGUACGGCACUAGUAGGACGCCGCCCUCCUUAAACGCCCGCCGCAGCUGCCGAAUGCGAAUGGCCGUACCCCCUUCCACAGCAGCGCUGGGGUCUUGCUGCUGCGUUUGUGUCAAGAGGUAACGUUUCGGUCCGAGGAACUCCACCGCCGCCUGCUGCCCGUCACUCAGCCGCACCACCGCAUCCACUGGCGCCAACACUCCUGGCGCGACAACGCCCGUCUGAAGGGACUGAACGGCUAGGCCCCCUGCUGCCUUGAGGCCCUGCUGCUCAAGCCGCCGCAGCGCUGCAACGACCUGCUUUUGAGUAUCUGAUGUGGGCUUGGCGUCUUCCCUCUCAGUAGUCACCGCCGCUGCCAUCGCCGCCUGCAGUCCGCUGCCGCUGCCCAGGGCCGCCGCCACCUCGCCGCCUAGCUCCUGCUGCGCCUGCCACAGCUGUUUGAGAUGCUCAGUUGUAAGACCCUCCCAACGGCUUACUGCUUCACGGGCCAGCUGAAUGGAUAGCUGCUUCAUGUCGGGAGAAUACGUGCCUCCGAACACAGCCAUGGCCCACAGGCUGUUGCAUACGUGCUGGUGCAGGACUGUGUCAGAGUCAUGCUGCAGCAGCUCGCCCAGCCGACCGCACACCGCCGCCUCCAAGCCAGCGUGCCGCAGCUGCAGCACCGCCAGCGCGUACAGCGUAUUGGCACAGUUCUGACCACCGGCACUACUGGCGCGCAUGGCUGCUACUGCUGCGCCCGAGUCAAGCAGCUCCGCCGGCGGCUGGUGGCGCAUCAACGCAAGCGCGUACAGCAGAUUGGACCAGGCCUGAGAUGUUGCGCGGGCCAUGGCGCCCGACUGCGUUGCUGCGUCCACCGCUGCUGAAACCCACUGCCGCUGCUCGGCCGGCGCCUCCGGGCCCGCCCCAAAUCCCAUCUUGGCUAGGGCCCACGCUGAGUUGCUGAGGUCCUGAGCGAUGUACCCGUCAAACCCCCGCCGCACGUCCUCUGCGGCCACUGCCACCACCAGCUCUGCCUGCUCGCUGCAUAGCUGCAGCCCCUCCAGCGCCAGCAGGAUGUUGGAUAGCUGUUGCGGGAUAAAUGCUGCAGCGAGCUCCGGUUUCCGGAGCCGCUGCAGUGCCUCCCCGCACAGCGCCUCAACUGCUGACCGGUACUCUGGUCCUGUGCACCCCAGAGCUUUGAGAGCCCAUAGGCUGUUUGAAACAUCUUGCGGCUUGAAGCCGUGGCCCGCCACCGUUCUCAAGCGAGAAGCCACAGCUGCCGCCAAGGUCUGCAAGUGUGGCGAUGAGGUGGGGUCCCAGCCUGAGCCCCGCUGCUGCUGGUCUUGCUUGAGCUUGCCGAGCGCGUACAUGACAAUUGCGAGGUUCUGAGGUUCCGCCUUCCCAAGAACCUCAGGAUCCACUAGCCGCUCCAGCAGAGCUGCUGCAAGCUGAGCCUCCGUGCCGCCGCCGACCAAUCCAGCUUUGCCCAGCGCCCACAGCGGAAUGCUGCAGUUCUUUGCGUUGCGGAUGCGCGGCACGAGCGGCAGGUAGGCCGGCGCAAGCAUGCCGAUAAUGCUGCUGCGUGCUACAGCCGUUUGGCUUGCUCCAGCGCGCGACUCCAGCUGCGUUCAAAGCAGUUAUGAGGGACAUACAUGGGGUCAAGUGCUAUAUGCAUGUGUUUGUGCGUGUGCGUGAACAGGUGCGCAUGCAAGUCCUGUGUGGCCAUCUGCGUCGUGAGAACCGGAAGUCCGGGCCGAGAACGACAACAAUGGACUCGCCCUCCAUUCUGCACUUCAUUUCUGUGCCCAUUCCCACCUGCACGUAUUAGUCCUCCCUCUCACCUUGCCGCACAGGUUGAACGCCGCACACAUGGUAAUGAAGUCUUUUCGGCCCUCCCACACUGAUAGCCGCUGGCUGAUGAUUGCUUGCAGCUCCUCCAGAGUCCGACACACGGUCAUGUCAUCCGCGGGGUCACGCCCGCUGCCCCUGCUUCUGCCGCUGGCGCGGCUGCCAUCGCCUGCCCUGCCUCCGCCGCUUCCCCUACCCNNNNNNNNNNNNNNNNNNNNNNNNNNNNNNNNNNNNNNNNNNNNNNNNNNNNNNNNNNNNNNNNNNNNNNNNNNNNNNNNNNNNNNNNNNNNNNNNNNNNGAGAAUAACGCAAGGAACGAAAGGUCAGGUGCGUGUAGGUCGCUGGGCCAAAGCCGCCUGAGUAGCUGUGGCUUGGUAUGGAUGAUAAAGCAACUGAAUCAAUUUGCCACCGGUGUUGAGGCGAGGGCGACCUGACCGCGAAAUACACGGCCCGAGGGCACGCCCCGUAUCAACACCCCUCGCGACCUCCAAACACGUGCACUGAACCGCGAAGCCCUCCCCCAAGCCUAUCGCGGCUGCUAUUCCCAUGUCCUCCUCCCCAACCAUUCUGCAUACAGGCUCUGGCGUGAGUCCCUGCCCGCGUCAUUUGACACCCGUCGACCACGACUGAGGUGCAACGCAUGUCGCUUACAAAUCCAACAUCCCGCCCGACACGAGAGGGGCAGAAACGGCGGGGCAGACGGCCAGCCUCUUGAACAUGAGCAUAGCAGUGCAAUAUCGCACAUUGGGUCCCCGCCUGCUUCACCUGGCCACCUUUGCUGAUUUGUCUGACAUCCCUGUCUACACACUUUUAUCCGCCCACGCUUGAGACGUCCUCCUCAGCGCGCAGGCUUCACGGUACCAACCGUGCGGUAUCAUCGCUACAUGAUGAGUGCACUGCCCCAACCAUUGAAGCAUCACAAGGUGCUUGCCUGCCGCCGCCGCCGCUGAUACGUACACGAUUGCUGCCACACAACCAACACAUCACACCCAACAAUCACAACAACAAAACAACUGAGACCCGCCGCCGUGCAACGCACACUGUACACGCCCCAGGGCCGAGAACACAACGCAACACAAGCACCUGACAUGCCUCAUCCAGGCAUGCGUCACUCAAUCGCCCACCGAGCCGACCUCGCACACGCCGUUCGUGAGCCCCUGCGGCUGACAUGCCCGGCCCUGCCCCCUUGGCACCGCAGCCCUGCCGCCUUGGCACCGCCGCCCAUUGCCCCACCCCCAUGCUGCGUGCCAUGUAAGAAUAAAGCCAGGUCCCCAUCAAGCCGCAGCAUAUAUCCCCGCCAAGCCACCAGACUCCUCUUGCCGCACGCUACCAACCACCACCAGCACAGGACCGGCACCUGCCUGUCCCCCUGUUUAGUUUGGGCUGAUAUUUACAACCCCCCACCCUCCCCUCCCCACCUUCCCCAUUGCCAACCUCGCCCACCGCGCCGACAUGCACGCCGGCACCUCGCUCGUGCCUCUCGAGGCCUCCCAUCUUCCGUAGCUAGAGAUCCCUGUCCACGAGUAUCCACUUGGGCUCCAGCCCACUCCUGAUGCACACGCCGGCAUUACCCAGGUCUGCAUGGUUUGCAUGCCUGCCUGUCUACCGUGCACGCACACCUGCCUAGCUACGCAGACCUACUACCGUCCUUUUUGACCCGCCUCCGCCGCCACCGCCGCCGUCUCCUCCCUCUGGCCGCCGUGCCGGCCGCGCCAGCAGCUGCUGUUGUGGGUUGCCGCCAGAGCCGCCGCCGCCCUUGUUGCUGUUGGUGGUGGUGGUUGCGGGCUGGUGUGGCGCGGCCGUAGUGACAGCCGCAGCGCCGCCCACGGCACCCGCUGUCACUGUUUCCACCGCCACCGCCGGCUGCUGCAGCCGGCGCAGCAGGUAGGCCUCCUGCUCGGAAGGAGUCAGGAAGUCCCAUUCCCAGUACGGCACUAGUAGGACGCCGCCCUCCUUAAACGCCCGCCGCAGCUGCCGAAUGCGAAUGGCCGUACCCCCUUCCACAGCAGCGCUGGGGUCUUGCUGCUGCGUUUGUGUCAAGAGGUAACGUUUCGGUCCGAGGAACUCCACCGCCGCCUGCUGCCCGUCACUCAGCCGCACCACCGCAUCCACUGGCGCCAACACUCCUGGCGCGACAACGCCCGUCUGAAGGGACUGAACGGCUAGGCCCCCUGCUGCCUUGAGGCCCUGCUGCUCAAGCCGCCGCAGCGCUGCAACGACCUGCUUUUGAGUAUCUGAUGUGGGCUUGGCGUCUUCCCUCUCAGUAGUCACCGCCGCUGCCAUCGCCGCCUGCAGUCCGCUGCCGCUGCCCAGGGCCGCCGCCACCUCGCCGCCUAGCUCCUGCUGCGCCUGCCACAGCUGUUUGAGAUGCUCAGUUGUAAGACCCUCCCAACGGCUUACUGCUUCACGGGCCAGCUGAAUGGAUAGCUGCUUCAUGUCGGGAGAAUACGUGCCUCCGAACACAGCCAUGGCCCACAGGCUGUUGCAUACGUGCUGGUGCAGGACUGUGUCAGAGUCAUGCUGCAGCAGCUCGCCCAGCCGACCGCACACCGCCGCCUCCAAGCCAGCGUGCCGCAGCUGCAGCACCGCCAGCGCGUACAGCGUAUUGGCACAGUUCUGACCACCGGCACUACUGGCGCGCAUGGCUGCUACUGCUGCGCCCGAGUCAAGCAGCUCCGCCGGCGGCUGGUGGCGCAUCAACGCAAGCGCGUACAGCAGAUUGGACCAGGCCUGAGAUGUUGCGCGGGCCAUGGCGCCCGACUGCGUUGCUGCGUCCACCGCUGCUGAAACCCACUGCCGCUGCUCUGCCGGCGCCUCCGGGCCCGCCCCAAAUCCCAUCUUGGCUAGGGCCCACGCUGAGUUGCUGAGGUCCUGAGCGAUGUACCCGUCAAACCCCCGCCGCAUGUCCUCUUCGGCCACUGCCACCACCAGCUCUGCCUGCUCGCUGCAUAGCUGCAGCCCCUCCAGCGCCAGCAGGAUGUUGGAUAGCUGUUGCGGGAUAAAUGCUGCAGCGAGCUCCGGUUUCCGGAGCUGCUGCAGUGCCUCCCCGCACAGCGCCUCAACUGCUGACCGGUACUCUGGUCCUGUGCACCCCAGAGCUUUGAGAGCCCAUAGGCUGUUUGAAACAUCUUGCGGCUUGAAGCCGUGGCCCGCCACCGUUCUCAAGCGAGAAGCCACAGCUGCCGCCAAGGUCUGCAAGUGCGGAGAUGAGGUGGGGUCCCAGCCUGAGCCCCGCUGCUGCUGGUCUUGCUUGAGCUUGCCGAGCGCGUACAUGACAAUUGCGAGGUUCUGAGGUUCCGCCUUCCCAAGAACCUCAGGAUCCACUAGCCGCUCCAGCAGAGCUGCUGCAAGCUGAGCCUCCGUGCCGCCGCCGACCAAUCCAGCUUUGCCCAGCGCCCACAGCGGAAUGCUGCAGUUCUUUGCGUUGCGGAUGCGCGGCACGAGCGGCAGGUAGGCCGGCGCAAGCAUGCCGAUAAUGCUGCUGCGUGCUACAGCCGUUUGGCUUGCUCCAGCGCGCGACUCCAGCUGCGUUCAAAGCAGUUAUGAGGGACAUACAUGGGGUCAAGUGCUAUAUGCAUGUGUUUGUGCGUGUGCGUGAACAGGUGCGCAUGCAAGUCCUGUGUGGCCAUCUGCGUCGUGAGAACCGGAAGUCCGGGCCGAGAACGACAACAAUGGACUCGCCCUCCAUUCUGCACUUCAUUUCUGUGCCCAUUCCCACCUGCACGUAUUAGUCCUCCCUCUCACCUUGCCGCACAGGUUGAACGCCGCACACAUGGUAAUGAAGUCUUUUCGGCCCUCCCACACUGAUAGCCGCUGGCUGAUGAUUGCUUGCAGCUCCUCCAGAGUCCGACACACGGUCAUGUCAUCCGCGGGGUCACGCCCGCUGCCCCUGCUUCUGCCGCUGGCGCGGCUGCCAUCGCCUGCCCUGCCUCCGCCGCUUCCCCUACCCGCCGCCGCCUGCACUAUUGGCCGCCCGAGGCGGGAGCUACUGCUGCCGCAGAGCACUACCGCCGUCGAGACGCGCAGUGGGGAUGAGCUGCUACUGUUGAGUGCUGGGACAGAAGUAGCGGCGGCAGCGCGCGGUGAGCUGGGGCCGGUGUCGGCAGCGGUCCGAUGCAUGCCAUAAACGAACAGUCUUCUAAACGCGCACGCCGGUGGCGGUGCCUGGAGACGGGCUGAUAACGAUUGGCUACAGCCAUGUACGCUGUGCCUGUGCGCACCAGCGGGAGAGCCCGCGACGACGCGCAGGGCGAGCAUCUCGGGCCUCCUCACGGCGGCGACCUGAGCUAUAGCGACUCUAUCCGUCUACGUGUCUGAGCACUGCAAAUGCAUUAGGCUUGCAUUUGUGGGAGAAUAACGCAAGGAACGAAAGGUCAGGUGCGUGUAGGUCGCUGGGCCAAAGCCGCCUGAGUAGCUGUGGCUUGGUAUGGAUGAUAAAGCAACUGAAUCAAUUUGCCACCGGUGUUGAGGCGAGGGCGACCUGACCGCGAAAUACACGGCCCGAGGGCACGCCCCGUAUCAACACCCCUCGCGACCUCCAAACACGUGCACUGAACCGCGAAGCCCUCCCCCAAGCCUAUCGCGGCUGCUAUUCCCAUGUCCUCCUCCCCAACCAUUCUGCAUACAGGCUCUGGCGUGAGUCCCUGCCCGCGUCAUUUGACACCCGUCGACCACGACUGAGGUGCAACGCAUGUCGCUUACAAAUCCAACAUCCCGCCCGACACGAGAGGGGCAGAAACGGCGGGGCAGACGGCCAGCCUCUUGAACAUGAGCAUAGCAGUGCAAUAUCGCACAUUGGGUCCCCGCCUGCUUCACCUGGCCACCUUUGCUGAUUUGUCUGACAUCCCUGUCUACACACUUUUAUCCGCCCACGCUUGAGACGUCCUCCUCAGCGCGCAGGCUUCACGGUACCAACCGUGCGGUAUCAUCGCUACAUGAUGAGUGCACUGCCCCAACCAUUGAAGCAUCACAAGGUGCUUGCCUGCCGCCGCCGCCGCUGAUACGUACACGAUUGCUGCCACACAACCAACACAUCACACCCAACAAUCACAACAACAAAACAACUGAGACCCGCCGCCGCGCAACGCACACUGCUGUACACGCCCCAGGGCCGAGAACACAACGCAACACAAGCACCUGACAUGCCUCAUCCAGGCAUGCGUCACUCAAUCGCCCACCGAGCCGACCUCGCACACGCCGUUCGUGAGCCCCUGCGGCUGACAUGCCCGGCCCUGCCCCCUUGGCACCGCAGCCCUGCCGCCUUGGCACCGCCGCCCAUUGCCCCACCCCCAUGCUGCGUGCCAUGUAAGAAUAAAGCCAGGUCCCCAUCAAGCCGCAGCAUAUAUCCCCGCCAAGCCACCACACUCCUCUUGCCGCACGCUACCAACCACCACCAGCACAGGACCGGCACCUGCCUGUCCCCCUGUUUAGUUUGGGCUGAUAUUUACAACCCCCCACCCUCCCCUCCCCACCUUCCCCAUUGCCAACCUCGCCCACCGCGCCGACAUACACGCCGGCACCUCGCUCGUGCCUCUCGAGGCCUCCCAUCUUCCGUAGCUAGAGAUCCCCAUCCACUAGCAUCCACUUGGGCUCCAGCCCACUCCUGAUGCACACGCCAGCAUUAUCCAGGUCUGCAUGGUUUGCAUGUCUGCCUACCGUGCACGCACACCUGCCUAGCUACGCCGACCUACUACCGUCCUCCUCGACCCGACCCGCCGCCGCCGCCGCCUCCCUCUGGCCGCCGUGCCGGCCGCACCAGCAGCUGCUGUUGUGGGUUGCCGCCAGAGCCGCCGCCGCCCUUGCUGGUAGUGGUGGUGGUUGCGGGCUGCUGCGGCGCGGCCGUAAUGACAGCCGCAGCGCCGCCCACGGCACCCACUGCCACUGUUUCCACCGCCACCGCCGGCUGCUGCAGCCGGCGCAGCAGGUAGGCCUCCUGCUCCUCCGGGCUCUUCAGGCCCGCCCACUCCCAGUACGGCAGCACAAGAACGCCGCCGCCCUCCCCGAACGCCCGCCGCAGCUGCCGAAUGCGCAUGGCCGUACCACCGUCAACAGCGGUGGGGUCGCGCUUUAGAUUGGACAGAAAGCGUGCCGGUCCGAGGAGCUCCACCGCCGCCUGCUGCCCGUCACUCAGCCGCACCACCGCAUCCACUGGCGCCAACGCGCCUUGCGCGACCACGCCCGUUUGUACGGACACGACGGCAAGGCCUCCUGCUGCCUCACGCCCCUGGUGCUGCUCAAGCCGCCGCAGCGCUGCGACGACCUGCUUUUGGAUGUCAGAUGUGGGCUUGGCGUUUUCCCUCUCAGCAGUCACCGCCGCUGCCAUCGCCGCCUGCAGGCCGGGGCUGCUCCCCAGGGCCGCCGCAACCUCGCCGCCUAGCUCUUGCUGCGCCUGCCACAGCUGAUUGAGAUUCUCAGUUGUAAAACCCUCCCAACGGCUUACUGCUUCACGGGCUAGCUGAAUGGAUAGCUGCUGCAUGUCGGGAGAAUACGUGCCUCCAAUCACCGCCAUGGCCCACAGGCUGUUUGAUAUGUUUUGGUUGUUUACCGCCUGCCUGUCGCGCUGCAGCAGCUCGCCCAGCCGGCCGCACACCGCCGCCUCCAAGCCAGCGUGCCGCAGCUGCAGCACCGCCAGCGCCCAGAGCGUGUUUGCACAGUUCUGACCACCGGCACUACUGGCGCGCAUGGCUGCUGCUGCUGCACCCGCAUCCAGCAGCUCCGGCGGCGGCUGGUGGCGCAUCAACGCAAGCGCGUACAGCAGGUUGGCCCAGGCCUGAGGCGUCGCACGGGCCAUGACGCCCGGCCGCAUUGCUGCGACCACCGCUGCCGAAGCCCACUGCCGCUGCUCUGCCGGCGCCUCCGGGCCCACCCCAAAUCCGAUCUUGGCCAGGGCCCACGCUGAGUUGCUGAGGUCCUGAGCCACGUACCCGGCAAAUCCCCGACGCACGUCCUCUGCGGCCACUGCCACCACCAGCUCUGCCUGCUCGCCGCCCAGCUGCAGCCCCUCCAGCGCCAGCAGGAUGUUGGACAGAUGCUGCGGCUUGAACGCUUCAGCAUCCUUCGGUGCUCGGAGCUGCCGCAGCGCCUCCCCGCACAGCGCCUCAACUGCUGAUCGGUACUCUGGUCCCAUGCAACCCAAAGCCGCAAACGCCCAGAGGGUAUUGGACAGAUGUUGCGUCUCCAUGCUGAGACUGAGCGCCGCUGCCGCCUCUGCCAGCGGCAGCAGGAGUUCCGGUUCCGGGUAACCCAGCUUGGCGCACGCCCAGAGAAUGUUGGACACGUCCUGUGCUGUGAAGCCGUGACCAACCGCCACUCCCAACCGGGAGGCCACAGCUGCCGCCAAGGUCUGCAAGUGCGGAGAUGAGGUGGGGUCCCAGCCUGAGCCCCGCUGCUCCUGGUCUUGCUUGAUCUUGCCGAGUGCGUACAUGACGUUUGUAAGACUUUGAGGUUUUGCAGUUCCAAGAACCUCUGAAUCCAACAGCCGCUCCAGCAGCGCUGCUAUGAGCUGAGCCUCCAUGGCCGAGCCGCCGCUGAUCCCUGCUUUCCCCAGCGCCCACAGCACGAUGCUGCAAUCAACCGCCUUGCGGAUGCGCGGCACGAGCGGCAGGUAGGCCGGCGCAAGCAUGCCGAUAAUGCUGCUGCGUGCUACAGCCGUUUGGCUUGCUCCAGCGCGCGACUCCAGCUGCGUUCAAAACAGUUAUGAGGGACAUACAUGGGGUCAAGUGCUAUAUGCAUGUGUUUGUGCGUGUGCGUGAACAGGUGCGCAUGCAAGUCCUGUGUGGCCAUCUGCGUCGUGAGAACCGGAAGUCCGGGCCGAGAAUGACAACAAUUGGACUCGCCCUCAAUUCUGCACUUUAUUUCUCUGCCCAUUCCCACCUGCACGUUUUAGUCCUCCCUCUCACCUUGCCGCACAGGUUGAACGCCGCACACAUGGUAAUGAAGUCUUUUCGGCCCUCCCACACUGAUAGCCGCUGGCUGAUGAUAGCUUGCAGGUCCUCCAGAGUCCGACACACGGUCAUGUCAUCCGCGGGGUCACGCCCGCUGCCCCUGCUUCUGCCGCUGGCGCGGCUGCCAUCGCCUGCCCUGCCUCCGCCGCUUCCCCUACCCGCCGCCGCCUGCACUAUUGGCCGCCCGAGGCGGGAGCUACUGCUGCCGCAGAGCACUACCGCCGUCGAGACGCGCAGUGGGGAUGAGCUGCUACUGUUGAGUGCUGGGACAGAAGUAGCGGCGGCAGCGCGCGGUGAGCUGGGGCCGGUGUCGGCAGCGGUCCGAUGCAUGCCAUAAACGAACAGUCUUCUAAACGCGCACGCCGGUGGCGGUGCCUGGAGACGGGCUGAUAACGAAUGGCUACAGCCAUGUACGCUGUGCCUGUGCGCACCAGCGGGAGAGCCCGCGACGACGCGCAGGGCGAGCAUCUCGGGCCUCCUCACGGCGGCGACCUGAGCUAUAGCGACUCUAUCCGUCUACGUGUCUGAGCACUGCAAAUGCAUUAGGCUUGCAUUUGUGGGAGAAUAACGCAAGGAACGAAAGGUCAGGUGCGUGUAGGUCGCUGGGCCAAAGCCGCCUGAGUAGCUGUGGCUUGGUAUGGAUGAUAAAGCAACUGAAUCAAUUUGCCACCGGUGUUGAGGCGAGGGCGACCUGACCGCGAAAUACACGGCCCGAGGGCACGCCCCGUAUCAACACCCCUCGCGACCUCCAAACACGUGCACUGAACCGCGAAGCCCUCCCCCAAGCCUAUCGCGGCUGCUAUUCCCAUGUCCUCCUCCCCAACCAUUCUGCAUACAGGCUCUGGCGUGAGUCCCUGCCCGCGUCAUUUGACACCCGUCGACCACGACUGAGGUGCAACGCAUGUCGCUUACAAUUCCAACAUCCCGCCCGACACGAGAGGGGCAGAAACGGCGGGGCAGACGGCCAGCCUCUUGAACAUGAGCAUAGCAGUGCCAUAGCGCACAUUGGGUCCCCGCCUGCUUCACCUGGCCACCUUUGCUGAUUUGUCUGACAUCCCUGUCUACACACUUUUAUCCGCCCACGCUUGAGACGUCCUCCUCAGCGCGCAGGCUUCACGGUACCAACCGUGCGGUAUCAUCGCUACAUGAUGAGUGCACUGCCCCAACCAUUGAAGCAUCACAAGGUGCUUGCCUGCCGCCGCCGCCGCUGAUACGUACACGAUUGCUGCCACACAACCAACACAUCACACCCAACAAUCACAACAACAAAACAACUGAGACCCGCCGCCGCGCAACGCACACUGCUGUACACGCCCCAGGGCCGAGAACACAAC
rnacentral:lncRNA from 1 species